UACAGAGGUCUCAAGCGUUGUUCGGAUUCAUUGGGCGUAAAGGGUGCGUAGGCGGCGCUGUAAGUCAGGUGUGAAAUUUCGGAGCUUAACUCCGAAACUGCAUUUGAUACUGCGGUGCUUGAGGACUGGAGAGGAGACUGGAAUUUACGGUGUAGCAGUGAAAUGCGUAGAGAUCGUAAGGAAGACCAGUGGCGAAGGCGGGUCUCUGGACAGUACCUGACACUGAGGCACGAAGGCCAGGGGAGCAAACGGG
rnacentral:rRNA from 1 species